rnacentral:rRNA from 1 species
GACGAACGCUGGCGGCGUGCUUAACACAUGCAAGUCGAACGGAAAGGCCCCCACCUUGGUGGGGGUGCUCGAGUGGCGAACGGGUGAGUAACACGUGGGUGAUCUGCCCUGUACUUCGGGAUAAGCUUGGGAAACUGGGUCUAAUACCGGAUAGGACCAUGGUUUAGUGUCUCAUGGUGGAAAAAUUAUUGUUUUGGUGCAGGAUGAGCUCGCGGCCUAUCAGCUUGUUGGUGGGGUAAUGGCCUACCAAGGCGUCGACGGGUAGCCGGCCUGAGAGGGUGGACGGCCAAAUUGGGACUGAGAUACGGCCCAGACUCCUACGGGAGGCAGCAGUGGGGAAUAUUGCACAAUGGGCGCAAGCCUGAUGCAGCGACGCCGCGUGGGGGAUGACGGCCGUCGGGUGGUAAACUCCUUUCGUUAGGGACGAAGCCACACCUUUUUUGGGUGUGGUGACGGUACCUUUGUGAAGAAGCACCGGCUAACUACGUG